rnacentral:rRNA from 1 species
GAGUUCAACAGUACGUGAAACCGCUUAGUAGUAAACGGAGGGACUCUCGAAGUCGGCGGUGACGGUUCAGGGUGACGGCGGGGCGGCCUGGGGGCUUGGGAUCCGCAAGGACCCUGCCCUUUUGUCAGCUCUGUCGGCGCCUGCACUUCGUUGCCGCCAUACGCGAUGAACCGUUUCCGGCGGACCGAGGGCGUGGGUGAAGUUUGUUGGCCUCGGCUUUCAAGCCCCGCGUUCCUGGCUCUGUCGGGGACGGGUAGUGGAGCGAUCUCUUAUAGAGAGUGCCCUUGCUGGCACGGUUCGCAUCUCUAUCGCGAGUAGGUCGGCGGUCCCUCCGACCCGUCUUGAAACACGGA